rnacentral:rRNA from 1 species
AACGAACGCUGGCGGCAUGCCUAACACAUGCAAGUCGAACGAGACCUUCGGGUCUAGUCGCGCACGGGUGCGUAACGCGUGGGAACCUGCCUUUAGGUUCGGAAUAACUCAGAGAAAUUUGAGCUAAUACCGGAUGAUGUCUUCGGACCAAAGAUUUAUCGCCUUUAGAUGGGCCCGCGUUGGAUUAGCUAGUUGGUGGGGUAAAGGCCUACCAAGGCGACGAUCCAUAGCUGGUCUGAGAGGAUGAUCAGCCACACUGGGACUGAGACACGGCCCAGACUCCUACGGGAGGCAGCAGUGGGGAAUAUUGGACAAUGGGCGAAAGCCUGAUCCAGCAAUGCCGCGUGAGUGAUGAAGGCCUUAGGGUUGUAAAGCUCUUUUACCCGAGAUGAUAAUGACAGUAUCGGGAGAAUAAGCUCCGGCUAACUCCGUG